CAGUAACCAGAAAACAGCCUCAGGACAGGUCCACCAACAGAUCUUCUGUGUCCCCUAGUACCAUCUGGAGGUUUCUGUGAAAGUCUCAGCAGCAGAGGUGUAAACAACCUCAUUGAUAUGAAACAUGGAAGACCCAGGAGAUCUUAAAGCAGGCAUCCCCUUAAACUAGAGGUCUGCCUGCCCACCAACAUUGCUACUCUGCAAUCCCAAGAGAAAGACCUUCGGUUUUCCAGAGCCUGGUCACCUGGUGAGGAAGAUGCUCCAGGGCCUUGGACUCUCCCGUUUUCAGCAACAGCAAAGUAACAACAAGCCACAGACCAGAGCAGAAACAUUUGCUCCUGGGUCUGUGGCUGAGCUGGAGGAAGUCAAGUGUGACAGGAAACUUGACACUUGCAUGUGGAAUCCUGAGAAAUCGAAUGAGACAUUGGCAGACCGGGUUUCUGAAAAAGAAACAAACUAAUUAAAGGACUGCUUCCUUACAAGAUAAAGAAGUCUUUCACCGUGGGCCCCUCUGAUGUCUGAGACAUUUGCCUCUUUCUAGGUUCUGCACUGUCUACCAGCAGGAAAGGGGACUUUUCCCUGUACUGUUUGAAAAGAUGACUUCAGGUGGUUUCUGCUCAGGUAGCACAGGGGAUUUUGAGGCAAGCCCACACUGUCAACGUCACUUCCUUGGCAUCAGUGGGAUCUCAAACAUCCUGGAACAGGUUAUGUACUGCUAGAACCUCUCAUCUGGGCGGGAAUGGAAAUCCAAGGAUAAAUUCUAUUGUCUCCACUCAGUCACACAUACUUGUUGCCAAUAUCAGAGCUUAAUAUUCU
rnacentral:lncRNA from 1 species